GAGGAGGGAGGCGCAUGGCUGGACUGACUGACUGCUGAAUGGAGCCGGCUCUGGGUGAGGUCUGGGUCUCCCCAGCAGUUCCACAUUGACGAACUCCCUCUGAACUCCAGUGGGUUAGUUAGGAAUCUGACCACAUUUGAUUGAUAGAAAUGAUAAUUCCACAUCAUUCGGGCAAAGGAGACUGCUGAAAGGAGGAAGGUCACCUCAUAAAUUUCAACGUAAGGAAGAAUUCUAACAUCUAGAUCACACAGAUGUGUGUCAGUUCUAAAGGAACCUGUUGAAGUCAUUUAAAAUUGCUAUGGCGCUUAGAAUAUUCUUGCUACAAACCUCGCUCAAGUCAAUAAACUUUGGUUAUGGCUUUGGAUUUAAAGGACAUAUUUACGCUACUGAGACUAGGUUACCAGACACAGAAUGAAAGCAAAAGAGGCCUCAGAACUUGUUUCCUCUGUAAAAACAAUGGAAAAAGGCAAAGAUUGUCCAAAUCAACUUUUACAGCACUCUGAGAAGUAACAAAAUGCAGAAAUAGUUUCCCAGGAACUAAAGAAGGAACACAGUUGAAUCUCGAUGACGCUGAGCUUCAGGUAGCUUUGAUUUGAACUUUUCUCCUCAGCUGUCUGCAACUCCAAGGAAGCCUCGCCCUCUUAUGAUAAUGGUAGCCAUGGAAACCAACAGCUGGGUCACCCCAGCAGGAAGGAAUGAUGGAGCUUUCCCACCCCGAACUUCCAGAGAAUUGUCACCGUUAGACCUGCCCCUCUGUCCCCUGGAGCUGCUCCUCACCCAGCCACCAGCACCAGAGCUGACUUCAUCAGAACAGGCUGAGAAUUAAAGUCAUAAA